GACGAACGCUGGCGGCGUGCUUAACACAUGCAAGUCGAACGGAAAGGCCUCUUUCGGGGGGUACUCGAGUGGCGAACGGGUGAGUAACACGUGAGUAACCUGCCCUUGACUUUGGGAUAACUUCAGGAAACUGGGGCUAAUACCGGAUAGGAGCUCCUGCUUCAUGGUGGGGGUUGGAAAGUUUCGGCGGUUGGGGAUGGACUCGCGGCUUAUCAGCUUGUUGGUGGGGUAGUGGCUUACCAAGGCUUUGACGGGUAGCCGGCCUGAGAGGGUGACCGGCCACAUUGGGACUGAGAUACGGCCCAGACUCCUACGGGAGGCAGCAGUGGGGAAGAUUGCACAAUGGGUGGAAGCCUGAUGCAGCAACGCCGCGUGCGGGAUGACGGCCUUCGGGUUGUAAAACGCUUUCGCUCAUGACGAAGCUUUGUGUGACGGUAGUGGGUAAAGAAGCACCGGCUAACUACGUG
rnacentral:rRNA from 1 species